rnacentral:rRNA from 1 species
CUACGGGCGGCACCAGUGAGGAAUAUUGCACAGUGGGGGGAACCCUGAUGCAGCAACGCCGCGUGGAGGAUGACGCAUUUCGGUGUGUAAACUCCUUUUAUAUGUCAAGAAAAUGACGGUAGCAUAUGAAUAAGCACCGGCUAACUCCGUGCCAGCAGCCGCGGUAAUACGGAGGGUGCAAGCGUUACUCGGAAUCACUGGGCGUAAAGGACGCGUAGGCGGGUUGGAAAGUCAGGUGUGAAAUCCUACAGCUUAACUGUAGAACUGCACUUGAAACUUCUAAUCUAGAGUAUGGGAGGGGGAGAUGGAAUUAGUGGUGUAGGGGUAAAAUCCGUAGAUAUCACUAGGAAUACCUAAAGCGAAGGCGAUCUCCUGGAACAUUACUGACGCUAAGGCGUGAAAGCGUGGGGAGCAAACAGGAUUAGAUACCCUUGUAGUC